rnacentral:rRNA from 1 species
AGGGAUUGCCCUAGUAACGGCGAGUGAAGCGGCAACAGCUCAAAUUUGAAAUCUGGCUCUUUCAGAGUCCGAGUUGUAAUUUGCAGAGGGCGCUUUGGCUUUGGCAGCGGUCCAAGUUCCUUGGAACAGGACGUCACAGAGGGUGAGAAUCCCGUACGUGGUCGCUAGCUAUUGCCGUGUAAAGCCCCUUCGACGAGUCGAGUUGUUUGGGAAUGCAGCUCUAAAUGGGAGGUAAAUUUCUUCUAAAGCUAAAUAUUGGCCAGAGACCGAUAGCGCACAAGUAGAGUGAUCGAAAGAUGAAAAGCACUUUGGAAAGAGAGUCAAACAGCACGUGAAAUUGUUGAAAGGGAAGCGCUUGCAGCCAGACUUGCUUGCAGUUGCUCAUCCGGGCUUUUGCCCGGUGCACUCUUCUGUAGGCAGGCCAGCAUCAGUUUGGGCGGUGGGAUAAAGGUCUCUGUCACGUACCUUCCUUCGGGUUGGCCUUAUAGGGGAGACGCCAUACCACCAGCCUGGACUGAGGUCCGCGCAUCUGCUAGGAUGCUGGCGUAAUGGCUGUAAGCGGCCCGUCUUGAAACACGGACCAAGGAGUCUAACAUCUAUGCGAGUGUUUGGGUGUCAAGCCCGAACGCGUAAUGAAAGUGAACGGAGGUGGGAACCCGCAAGGGUGCACCAUCGACCGAUCCUGAAGUUUACGGAAGGAUUUGAGUAAGAGCAUGGCUGUUGGGACCCGAAAGAUGGUGAACUAUGCUUGAAUAGGGUGAAGCCAGAGGAAACUCUGGUGGAGGCUCGCAGCGGUUCUGACGUGCAAAUCGAUCGUCAAAUUUGGGCAUAGGGGCGA